UGGGGAAUAUUGCACAAUGGGCGCAAGCCUGAUGCAGCCAUGCCGCGUGUAUGAAGAAGGCCUUCGGGUUGUAAAGUACUUUCAGCGGGGAGGAAGGCGAUAAGGUUAAUAACCUUGUCGAUUGACGUUACCCGCAGAAGAAGCACCGGCUAACUCCGUGCCAGCAGCCGCGGUAAUACGGAGGGUGCAAGCGUUAAUCGGAAUUACUGGGCGUAAAGCGCACGCAGGCGGUCUGUCAAGUCGGAUGUGAAAUCCCCGGGCUCAACCUGGGAACUGCACUCGAAACUGGCAGGCUAGAGUCUUGUAGAGGGGGGUAGAAUUCCAGGUGUAGCGGUGAAAUGCGUAGAGAUCUGGAGGAAUACCGGUGGCGAAGGCGGCCCCCUGGACAAAGACUGACGCUCAGGUGCGAAAGCGUGGGGAGCAAACA
rnacentral:rRNA from 1 species